AGGAGGAUUGAGAAAGUUAGGCAGCUGUUUUAGUACUGCAUUAACUGGUUAUAACCUCCUAGAAAAAAACACAAGUGCUCAAAGUGCUCUUUCAUUCUGUGUGUAAAAGUAGUCGAGUUCUUGUGGACAUGUU
ensembl:snoRNA